rnacentral:lncRNA from 1 species
AAUAAUUGUGAUUAGUACAUUUUGUAUGUAUCUAAUUGGACCAAAUAGAGAAUGGAUGUUUAUACUGGCUAUUAAACAUAUUCUCUAGGACAUUAGAAAUAUAGUUUAUGUUCUUAAUCUUGAUUUAAUUUAAUAUGAGCAAGCAUUUGUUAUCUUGUGCUUUGAUUCAUUAAAGGGUGAGUUUCAUUAUUGGAAUAAUAUUCUCGGUGGAUUGGGCAAAGAUAAUUUGUGUUUGUGAAAUAUUAAUUAAUGAUGGAAUCCAUGUCUCGAUUUAGAGAUUGAUGAUGCACUUUAAGUAUGCUUAUAAGGUUUCAUUGUGUAAACCCUGCAGGUGGAUUUUGAAUCCGACACAUGAAAUAAGUUGAGCGACAAUCUUAAAGUUGUAUUGUUAUUUAAAUAAAUUGUCAGUGAGUUAUUUAAAUAACAGCAUCAGUAAUCUUAACAUGGAGAACAUAAUAUUAUUAUGUUGUGGAAUUGUAAAAUAAAUAAGGAGUUCAAUCAUGAAUUUUUAGUGGUAUGAUUCUUGAUUAAUUAUAAUAAGAAUAUGUUGGUCCUACAUAGGUUCUUAUUGUAAUUAGUGGCCUAAUUUAUUUUAUUCCUGCGGUCCCUGUAGUACCCUAGUUGUUUGGAAUAAUAGGGUUUUUAUUUAAAUAAUAAAUGGAUUAUUUUAUUUAAGUAAUUGAUAAUUAUUUUAAUAAAAUAAUUUAUUAUUUAUUUAUUUAUAUUAAAUGUUAUUUUCCUAUGGAAAAUACGUUUUGAAGAAUAUAAAUAAGAAAAAACCCUAAGUUGAAAAGACGCUUGCGUUAUUCUUUUCUGCCCACUCAGAAAAACUUUCUAGAGAGAUAGCUAGGGUUACUGCAGAAGAUCGUGGGUGACUCCAAGAUCUUAGGAACAAAGACCGGUGAGCGAUUCUGCGCUUCAAGAGGUCAGUUAAUAUUUAUGUUUUUAGUUUCCCUUGAUAUGUGUUUCGGAUCUGGGUUGUUUCCGCUUAAUACCCGCUCCCAUCA